rnacentral:rRNA from 1 species
UACAGAGGUGGCAAGCGUUGUUCGGAAUUACUGGGCGUAAAGGGCGCGUAGGCGGCCUUCUAAGUCAGACGUGAAAUCCCCGGGCUCAACCCGGGAACUGCGUCCGAUACUGGAAGGCUUGAAUCCGGGAGAGGGAUGUGGAAUUCCAGGUGUAGCGGUGAAAUGCGUAGAUAUCUGGAGGAACACCGGUGGCGAAGGCGGCAUCCUGGACCGGCAUUGACGCUGAGGCGCGAAAGCCAGGGGAGCAAACGGG